ensembl:lncRNA
CGAUUUCUUCUCUUCCUUCUUACAGGGAAAGUCUGUGUUUUGGUCACCGGAUGCGGUGGGUCAUGUGUUAUAUGUUGUGUGGUCCUUAAGACCUGGAGCAACUGUGCUAAGGGCUGUCCUUUUCUGCUCAUCUGCCUCAUGACCCAGUCCAGCUGCAAGGGUUACUAAGGAAAUUUCCCUGGGUGCAGGCCAGAGAUGUAGCUCUGAAGAGCUGGCUGUCAUUUGAACAAUGGGCUUGAAAGGAGUGAAGCAAACUGCCUCCAGCAUAGUGUGGCAGAAGCCAAUGGCAAAGCUGCUGUAGAGAGACACAGCCUGAAUGAAACGCUGAUUGAUAUGCAGUCCAUGUGUCAUAAUAUGUGGCCAAGCCUGCUGGUACCUCAGAAUUACAAACACCAAGAGGCUGAAAAUUUCAACUGGCUGAAGAAAGAACCUAGCAGGGGUGUGUACAAGAAACCUUUCCUAAUACCUCUGAAACAAGGUGUCCCUGCAGUCAGAAAAGAUUGCAGGUGUGUGGUAUGGGGGAAUUCAUUGACUGGAAAGAGACAGCUUUGCUGCAGCAAGAGAAACAUAGACUUUGCUUGAUAUAAAUAAAUAUACACGCAUAUAAGAAGUACAUAUAAGUAAACACGUUUAUACAUAGAUGUAGAUGUAGAUGUGGAUGUAGAUUUGGACAUGGAUGUAGACAUAGAUGUAGACAUAGAUUAUAUAUGUGUAUAUGUGUAUAUGUAUUUGUAUAUUUAUGCAUGGUAGCAGUUCUUUAGUAAAUGAAAAGUAGCACUACUAGAGACUGAUAGACCCUUUGUCAUCUCAGAAGGCUGCUUUGUUAUGGUACAUACAGACAAAAGAAAGCCCUUUGGAGCAUGGAAACAUAGGAAUCAACGUAAAGCACAUUAUCUCAAGGUCACUGGCAAAUUCUGAGAAGAUACUAGUCUAAAUUCAUCACAGAAGUACAUUUCCUACUAUCUGAUACAGUCUCCAGAGAUGGCAACAUUAAAUGUGACAAAAGCAAUCUAUGAAAUUGCCUCCCAUGAAGCUGCAACUUGCAAAAGUAUGGAAGCUGAGAGGGCCUAUUGCUGCGAUUUUGGGAGCAUGAGAUUUCAGAGGUUUGUGAGGAUGCUGCACCAGAUGAAAGGCAGAAGCUGCAGCAACAACAGCACAAUCUUGCAAUGGCAUGCAUUCAAAAGCCCCCAUGCCGAGUGAGAGAGACACCAAGUCCAUUUGAAAACGAGCAAAGGUAGCUGGCUGCCAGCAAAAAUAAUUACUUUGCAAAGACGGAGACAAACUUUGGAAACAAACUGACAGACUUCUGAAGGAAGAACCCGUUUUAACUUGUCGUGGCAGAGGAGUAUAUACAUAUUUUAAAAAGCCUUUACAAAGUUAAUUGCUUGGAUAGAGCCGGGGAAGGGG